rnacentral:rRNA from 1 species
ACAGGGGGUGCAUGGUUGUCGUCGACUCGGGUUGAGAUAGGUGGGGUUAAUUCCCGCAACGAGGGCAACCCCUGUUGUUUGUUGCUACCAUUAAGUUGACCACUCUAGCGAAACUGCCGGGGACAAAUCGGAGGAAGGGGGGGACGAAGUCAAAUCAUCUUGCCCCUUUUGUCCUGGGUUACACACUUACUACAAUGGCUAUUACAAAAGGAAGCAAAACCGCAAGGUGGAGCAAAUCCCCAAAAAUACUCCCAGUUCAGAUUGUGGGCUGCUACCCGCCCACAUGAAGUCGGAAUUGCUAUAAAUGGCAGAUCACCAUACUGCCCUGAAUAC